rnacentral:rRNA from 1 species
GGAGAUUUCAAUGAGAUCCUACAUUCAUGGGAGAAGGAUGGAGGAGCACCUCGACUUCAAGCUUGCAUGGAUCAUUUUAAGGCAGCUCUAGAGGUGUGUGAGCUAUGAGAUCUCGGCUUUGUGGGGGACACCUUCACUUGGCGAAAUCACAGUCAUGAAAGACUGGAUAGGGCGGUCGCCAUGCAGACUUGGUGCAAAAGAUUCCCAGCAUUCCGUGUCAUCAAUGGAGACCCUUGGCACUCAGAUCAUCGCCCGACAAUU